GGCUCAGAUUGAACGCUGGCGGCAGGCCUAACACAUGCAAGUCGAACGGUAGCACAGGAGAGCUUGCUCUCUGGGUGACGAGUGGCGGACGGGUGAGUAAUGCAUGGGGAGCUGCCCAAUCGAGGGGGGAUACCAGCUGGAAACGGCUGCUAAUACCGCAUACGCCCUGAGGGGGAAAGGUGGGGACCUUCGGGCCUACCGCGAUUGGAUGCACCCAUGUGGGAUUAGCUAGUUGGUGGGGUAAAGGCUCACCAAGCCGACGAUCUGUAGCUGGUCUGAGAGGACGACCAGCCACACUGGGACUGAGACACGGCCCAGGCUCCUACGGGAGGCAGCAGUGGGGAAUUUUGGACAAUGGGCGCAAGCCUGAUCCAGCAAUGCCGCGUGCAGGAAGAAGGCCUUCGGGUUGUAAACUGCUUUUGUACGGAACGAAACGGUCUGCCCUAAUACGGUGGGCUAAUGACGGUACCGUAAGAAUAAGCACCGGCUAACUACGUG
rnacentral:rRNA from 1 species